rnacentral:rRNA from 1 species
AAUCAACGCUGGCGGCGUGCCUAACACAUGCAAGUCGAACGGAGAAAGGGGACUUCGGUCCCUGAGUACAGUGGCGCACGGGUGAGUAACACGUGACUUAUCUACCCUUGAGUGGGGAAUAACUUCGGGAAACCGAGGCUAAUACCGCAUAAUACCCACGGGUCAAAGGAGCAAUUCGCUUGAGGAGGAGGUCGCGGCCCGAUUAGUUAGUUGGCGGGGUAAUGGCCCCCACCAAGACGGUGAUCGGUAUCCGGCCUGAGAGGGCGCACGGACACACUGGAACUGAAACACGGUCCAGACUCCUACGGGAGGCAGCAGUGGGGAAUUUUGCGCAAUGGGGGAAACCCUGACGCAGCAACGCCGCGUGGAGGAUGAAGUCUCUUGGGACGUAAACUCCUUUCGAUCGGGACGAUUAUGACGGUACCGGAAGAAGAAGCCCCGGCUAACUUCGUG